rnacentral:rRNA from 1 species
ACGGGGGGGGCAAGCGUUGUUCGGAAUUACUGGGCGUAAAGGGCUCGUAGGCGGCCAACUAAGUCGGACGUGAAAUCCCUCGGCUUAACCGGGGAAUGGCGUCCGAUACUGGAUGGCUCGAGUGUGGGAGAGGUAAGCGGAAUUCCUGGUGUAGCGGUGAAAUGCGUAGAUAUCAGGAGGAACACCGGCGGUGUAGACGGCUUACUGGACCAUAACUGACGCUGAGGCACGAAAGUGUGGGGAGCAAACAGGA